rnacentral:rRNA from 1 species
GAUGAACGCUAGCGGCAGGCCUAAUACAUGCAAGUCGAGGGGCAGCACGGUAGCAAUACUGGUGGCGACCGGCGCACGGGUGCGUAACGCGUAUGCAACUUACCCUUUACAGGGAGAUAGCCCGGAGAAAUUCGGAUUAAUAUCCCAUAGUAUAUAGAUUUGGCAUCAGAUUUAUAUUAAAGAUUUAUCGGUAAAGGAUGGGCAUGCGUGUCAUUAGCUAGUUGGUGAGGUAAUGGCUCACCAAGGCGACGAUGACUAGGGGUACUGAGAGGUUACACCCCCACACUGGUACUGAGACACGGACCAGACUCCUACGGGAGGCAGCAGUAAGGAAUAUUGGACAAUGGGCGAGAGCCUGAUCCAGCCAUGCCGCGUGCAGGAUGACGGUCCUAUGGAUUGUAAACUGCUUUUGUAUGGGAAUAAACCCAGAUACGUGUAUCUGGCUGAAUGUACCAUAAGAAUAAGGAUCGGCUAACUCCGUGCCAGCAG